rnacentral:lncRNA from 1 species
AUUUUAUAUGUGGUUAGUUUUAUAUUAAAUACUAAAUAUGAAUUGUAAGGAUAUAUAUAUAUAUUGUCGGCAAUCUGGUACUCUUGGUACCAGAUUUUGAGAAUUCGCAAUCUUUCUAAUACGAAUUGUUGGGAUUUCGUAAUGAAAGUGUCAAUCUUCUCAGUAAAGAAUAAUACUAUCACAAAAAAAAAAAAAUCAAGCAGAAAAAAUAUAGAUAAAUAAAAUUCACUAAACAAGAGAAGAAUAGCUUCAACGCUAGCUCUUUUUUUGAAUCUCUUUAAUUUUUAAUAGUAAUUUUCAAAGAAUUAGAUUACUAUACUAUCAAUAGUAGCAAGUCAUUGAUGCUAUUAAAUUUUCGACUUUUGGACGAAAGGAUGUACGGUUAUGAUGAUAGCGAUUCCUUAGAAUUAAGUGGGUGGUUGGUUGAAUAGUACGUGCUAAUGGGUAAAAAUAAUUAAUGGAAUAUAGCUAAUGACCGAAUAUUUGAUAGCAUAAAAAGUU